UCAAAAUCUCCAUAGAAACCAGGGCCGGCUGAAGUACUGAAGCCGCACUCAGGCAGCUCGCCUUAGUCUGUAACAAAACAGCAACUGGGGGUUUAAACUGCAGACGUUUCCUCUCUCAUAGUUCUGGAGGCUGGGAGUUGGAGCUCAAGGUGCCAGCAGGGUCGGUUCGGGCAAGUGCCCUCUUCCUGGCUUGCCGGUCCCGGAGGCUGGGGAGGCACACCAGGCAAGCCCCUAACCCUUGCAAGCCAAGAUGUAGAUGGUGGUGUCGGGGAGGAGAGCAACAUGAACCUGCGUGUCUCUCCUUGGUCCGCAGCAUGGAUGCAGCCCGCCACCUGUGAACUCUGGCUGAAUGCCGCACGGAGGUGCCAGGGCGCCUCACCAAGGGAAGGGGAGCAAAGACUACUAUUUCUGAGGAGAUUCAAUUCAAGAGGAACAGGCUACAUAGACAUUUGGAAAGGAAAAUGUUUAGCAAGGAUACAAAGGUA
rnacentral:lncRNA from 1 species